AUUGAACGCUGGCGGCAGGCUUAACACAUGCAAGUCGAGCGGGGGAAGGUAGCUUGCUACUAGACCUAGCGGCGGACGGGUGAGUAAUGCUUAGGAAUCUGCCUAUUAGUGGGGGACAACAUCUCGAAAGGGAUGCUAAUACCGCAUACGUCCUACGGGAGAAAGCAGGGGAUCUUCGGACCUUGCGCUAAUAGAUGAGCCUAAGUCGGAUUAGCUAGUUGGUGGGGUAAAGGCCUACCAAGGCGACGAUCUGUAGCGGGUCUGAGAGGAUGAUCCGCCACACUGGGACUGAGACACGGCCCAGACUCCUACGGGAGGCAGCAGUGGGGAAUAUUGGAUAAUGGGGGGAACCCUGAUCCAGCCAUGCCGCGUGUGUGAAGAAGGCCUUAUGGUUGUAAAGCACUUUAAGCGAGGAGGAGGCUACUCUAGUUAAUACCUAGGGAUAGUGGACGUUACUCGCAGAAUAAGCACCGGCUAACUCUGUGCCAGCCGCCGCCGUAA
rnacentral:rRNA from 1 species